rnacentral:piRNA from 1 species
AGGGCUAUACAGAGAAAC